UACGUAGGGUGCGAGCGUUAAUCGGAAUUACUGGGCGUAAAGCGUGCGCAGGCGGUUUUGUAAGACAGAUGUGAAAUCCCUGGGCUUAACCUAGGAACUGCGUUUGUGACUGCAAGACUUGAGUGUGGCAGAGGGGGGUGGAAUUCCACGUGUAGCAGUGAAAUGCGUAGAGAUGUGGAGGAACACCGAUGGCGAAGGCAAUCCCCUGGGCCUGUACUGACGCUCAUGCACGAAAGCGUGGGGAGCAAACAGGAUUAGAUACCCGUGUAGUCC
rnacentral:rRNA from 1 species